rnacentral:rRNA from 1 species
UGGGCAACCUGCCCCUCUCUGGGAUAACCCCGGGAAACCGGAGCUAAUACCGGAUACUCCGGCUGGAUCGCAUGGUCCGGCCGGGAAAGGUCCGCCGGAGAGGGAUGGGCCCGCGGCCUAUCAGCUUGUUGGUGGGGACAUGGCUCACCAAGGCGACGACGAGUAGCUGGUCUGAGAGGACGACC